GGGUCAGUAGGUUGGUCGUGCCACCGGUACGUACUGGUCUCACUGAUUCCUCCUUCUUGAAGAACCGUAAUGCCAUUAAUUUGGUGUUGCGGGGAGACCGGACUGUUACUUUGAAAAAAUUAGAGUGUUUAAAGCAAGCUAACGCUUGAAUACAUUAGCAUGGAAUAAUGAAAUAGGACGAUCGAUCCUAUUUUGUUGGUUUCUAGGAUUGACGUA
rnacentral:rRNA from 1 species